rnacentral:rRNA from 1 species
GAUGAACGCUGGCGGCGUGCCUAAUACAUGCAAGUCGAGCGAACAGACGAGGAGCUUGCUCCUCUGACGUUAGCGGCGGACGGGUGAGUAACACGUGGAUAACCUACCUAUAAGACUGGGAUAACUUCGGGAAACCGGAGCUAAUACCGGAUAAUAUAUUGAACCGCAUGGUUGAAUAGUGAAAGACGGUUUUGCUGGCACUUAUAGAUGGAUCCGCGCCGCAUUAGCUAGUUGGUAAGGUAACGGCUUACCAAGGCAACGAUGCGUAGCCGACCUGCGAGGGUGAUCGGCCACACUGGAACUGAGACACCGUCCAUACUCCUACGGUAGGCAGCAGUAGGGAAUCUUCCACAAUGGGCGGAAACCUGACGGAGCAACGCCGCGUGAGUGAUGAAGGUCUUCGGAUCGUAAAACUCUGUUAUUAGGGAAGAACAAAUGUGUAAGUAACUAUGCACGUCUUGACGGUACCUAAUCAGAAAGCCACGGCUAACUACGUG